AACAAUUAAAUUAAAAAACAAACUGAAAUCUUUGAGGGGGAAAAAUGAAAAAGAAAAACCUUAAAAUAACCUGGUUGCAUAAGUGUGCACACCCUCUUAUAAAUGGGGACGUGGCUGUGUUCAGAAUUAACCAGUCACAUUCAAACUCAUGUUAAAAAGAAGUCAUUACACACUUGCCAUCAUUUAAAGUGACUGAUUACUCACAAAUAAAGUUCAGCUUUUCUAGUAGGAUUUUCCUGACAUUUUCUUAGUUCCAUCUCAGAGCAAAAGCCAUGGUCCGCAGAAAGCUUCCAAAGCAUCAGAGGGAUCUAACUGUUGAAAGAUAUCAGUCAGGAGAAGGGUGCAAAAUUUCUAAAGCAUUAGAUAUACCAUGGAACAAAGUGAAGUGGAGAAAAUAUGGCACAACAGAGACAUUACCAAGAACUGGACGCCCCUCCAAAAUGUAUGAAAAGAUAAAAAGAAAACUGGUCAGGGAGGCUUCCAAGAGGCCUACAGCUACAUUAAAUGAACUUCAGGAAUUUCUGGCAAGUAGUGGCUGUGUGCUACAUGUGACAAAAAUCUUCAUAUGAAUGGGCUUUAGGGUAGUGUGGCAAGACGGAAGCUCUUUCUUACAAAGAAAAACAUCCAAGCACGGCUGAUAUUUGCAAAAACAAACAUAAAGUAUCCCAAAAGCACAUGGGAGAACGUGUUAUGGUCUGAUGAAACCAAGGUUGAAAAUUUUGGCCAUAAUUACAAAAGGUAUGUUUGGCGCAAAGACAACACUGCACAUCACCCAAAGAACACCAUACCCACAGUGAAGCAUGGUGGUGGCAGCAUCAUGCUUUGGGGCUGUUUUCUUCAGCUGGAACCAGGGCCUUGGUCAGGGUGGAGGGAAUUAUGAACAGUUCCAAAUACUAGGCAAUUUUGGCACAAAACCUUCAGGCGUCCGUUAGAAAGAUGAAGAUGAAGAGGAAGUUCACCUUUCAGCACGACACCAACCCAAAGCACACUUGCAUAUCCACAAAAGCAUGGCUUCAUCAGAAGAAGAUUAACGUUUUGGAAUGGCUUAGCCAGAGCCCAGACCUAAAUCCAAUUGCACAUCUGUGGGGUGAUCUGAAGAGAGCUGUGCACAGGAUAUGACAGAUUUGUAGCGCUUUUGCAAAGAAGAGUGGGCAAAUAUUGGCACAUCAAGAUGUGCCAUGCUAACCGACUCCUACGCAAAAAGUGUGAGUGCUCUAAUAAAAUCAAAAGGUGCUUCAACAAAGUAUUAGUUUAAUGGUGUGCACACUUAUGCAACCAGGUUAUUGUGAGUUUUUAAUUUUCCCCCCUCAAAGAUUUCAGUUUGUUUUUCAAUUGAAUUGUUCACGUUAUAGGUCACAUUAAAGGUGGAAAAAGUUCUGACAUGAUUAUCUUUGUCUCAUUCUUUUACAUCACAAGAACCUGGCAUUUUAACAGGGGUGUGUAGACUUUUUAUAUCCUCGGGUAUAGGCCUGCAUUUGAAGGCCACAUAGUGUCAGGCUGUGAACAUGACCCAGUCUCCUGAACAUCAGUGUUGCACUGAGAACCAAGGGACUGGUACUGGAGCGUCAUGUCAGCAAAAGCCUGUUCCAUGUAGCUGUCAUGUAACCCGGCCACCUCCAGACUGAACACCUGCCUGUGGCCCCUCACAACAACAACAUCAGGUGUAUUCAGGACGCCAGAGGACACAUCGUUAUUAUUACCUAAACAUGCAUAAACGCACGCACUCAGAUUUACAGCUCUGUUUCGAUAAAGCCACCAUGUUCAUGGGAGACUAUAACCCAGACUGAGAGGGCAGCAGACUGGGUCUGGAAAGUCAGCACUCUUUCUGCCAACCAGCCCUUCUCUCUAAUGACGUGGCAACAUUUCAUCCCUGCAUCAAUCCAGCCCUUCGCUCCAUCACUCACGUUCAUCCACUCCUUCCCAUUUCAUCAGUCCAUCCAUCCACUCUUUCACUUCAUCCCUCCAUCCCUUCCACUCCAUAUACAUUUUAAUCACAAGCAUUCUGGAGGUGAUGCGAUGUGUGAAGUGAAGGGUAGAGGAUUAGACUUGGCAGUGUGUGUGGGUGUGUGUGUGUAUAUGUGUGUAUGUGUGUGUGUGUGUCUACGCAUCUUGCAUCCUGUGUCUGUGUAUGCAGAUGCACUGACUGGUUUGUGUGUGUGUGUGUGCAGUCACUGUGAUUGUGAUUUAAAUGACAUUUCUGACUCGUGCUCAAUGUUAGUGGUAAUUUUGCAUUUACAUUUUCCCCAGAGUUUACAAUGGGAUCAUAUAUUCUACCUCUCAAUUUGUCUAAUGAGCGUUUUUUUCAUUACAUUAAAAGAACAUGGAGAGGGGGAUAGAUGGAUGGAUAUAGACAGAGAAAAAUAAAGAGAGACAAGAAGGCAGGACAGAGAGACCAGAAGGCAGGACAGAAAGACAAGAAGGCAGGACAGAAAGACAAGGAGAAAGACAGGACAGAGUCAAGAAGAAAGACAGGACAGAGUCAAGAAGAAAGGCAGGUCAGAGAGAUAAGACAAAAGACAGGACAGAGUCAAGAAGAAAGGCAGGUCAGAGAGAUAAGACAAAAGACAGGACAGAGUCAAGAAGAAAGACAGGUCAGAGAGAUAAGACGAAAGACUAAGCCGAGGCCCCAUGAAACCAUCAAAGCCACAGUUUCAGUCACAAUCUGUGGUGAAUCUGAGCAACAACUACUGGUAUAUGAAGGCAUGUGUGAGUAGACCUCAGAAAUCUGUGUUGCCAUUGGAGCAGCACAACAAUGACAGGUCAUGUUUUAAGUCACAUCCCACACUACGUACAGUGGUCCAGUGUGUUGCCCUGAAUAGAAAAUACAUGGUGUUACUCUAGACGCAGCCACAGUUACAGACAUGACCGUGAGCAAAUAUGUUGAUGCCUUUUUACCGUCCAAUCCACCAUAAACACACCAUUUCCAUGCCCUUUCCCUAUGUCUUCAAACAAUGUGCCAAUGUUCUCUACCUUUGGGUUACAUAUCAUGAUUUCAAGUGCCAUUUAAAAAAAAUUAAAUGUUAUUAUGUAAAAGGCAUUUUAUGCCUUUUACAUUUGAUUUUGUGAUGUUGUACAAUUUCUUCAAACAGGUACAGUGUUACAUCCUGUGUGCAGCGAUCAGGAACUUCACAACGUCGCCUUCAUAUAACCCGUUGAAUGUUGGUUUUCUUCUAUAACUCUUUGCCUUUGCCACUCUCAUACAUUUGACACACUUGACUUGAAAUGCUGGUAAGACUGAACGUCUGUGUCUAUACAAAAUGUAAUCUGAAUUGGAUUAAGUUGUUCCUGUAAUACUCUAGCACUGAAGUGAUUGCCCCCCCCGCCACCUUCACCUCACUGCCAUAGAGAGGAACCUUCAAGUCAAAGGCUACAUACUGAAUGAAUAUACUCAUUUGCUGUGCAGUAAUAUGUCAUGGAAAAGCACAAAAAUGUUUCUUUAUCUCAUUUGAAAAGGAGUGUAUCUACUGUAUAUUCUUGUAAAUAUUCAAUUUAACGGUAUCUUAUCCAUUUUGUUUUGAGGAUUCCUUUUUCAUACUUGACACAGGCCUUUCUCUGAUGUGUGGGGUGAAUGAGAUGUAAGUACAAUAAGUACAGUAUUCAAACCACCUACCUUUAAAUGCUGAGGGUAGCUGUUUUGUUUCUUCAUAGUAGAACAGCAGUCUUGACCAACUGAGCUGUAUGAAAAAAGUCUGCAGUUGAUUUGACUUAUGACUUAAGGCUGUACACAUACACACAUACACACACACAUACACUCGCAUAUACUAAGCAUUUAGGGCCGGUUUUGUGGACUCUAGCCUGGGACUAAAAGAUCAAACUCAAUAAAAGAAACGGCCCUUAAUGUGAGAGUAUACAGCAGCAGUAAGGCAAUAUGGAGACCCCUGUUAUUAUAUUCUCUAUUAUUCUAAUAAAACCUUAAGAUAUAUUCAUCUCUGUUGUAUCUUCGCACAGUGUUCAUUUUACUAAAUUGAUAUGUCAUUCUCAAAUGUGCCUGAAUAUUUUUCCUAAUCUUACAAAAGUGACCUGUGGAAUGAAUGCAUAUGGAAGACAUGGGAAGGCAGGACAAAAAGAAAGGAAGACUUGACAGAUAAGUUGAAAGACAUGACAGAGAAAUGAGAAGACAGGACAGUAAUAAUAUAGACAGGCUGGAGAGAUAGGAACCUGUGGAAGGCACAUGGUGUUUUGACUCCAGAGCAUCAGUAUUAUUGUCAUGCCUGCUUUCCCCUUUUACGGAUAUCUGGUUCUCAACGAGGCUAAAUUAAGUCCAGUGCACUGAGGCCAUGGCUAUAGUAACAUUUCCCAAAAAUGUUUUACUCUGACACUGUUUAUAAUUAGUCAAACGUAUUGAGGUUUGAUGAUUGUAAACUAUAUAUUAUUGUUUAAUUAAUUACAUUCAAUUUGAAUCUCUGAAACAACGUCAGAUCGUCGAUGUUACACUGAACAAAAUUAUAAACACAACACUUUUUGCCCCCAUUUAUCAUGAGCUGAACCC
ensembl:lncRNA